AGAGUUUGAUCCUGGCUCAGAUUGAACGCUGGCGGCAGGCUUAACACAUGCAAGUCGAGCGGAAACGAUGGGAGCUUGCUCCCAGGCGUCGAGCGGCGGACGGGUGAGUAAUGCUUAGGAAUCUGCCCAGUAGUGGGGGACAACAGUCGGAAACGGCUGCUAAUACCGCAUACGCCCUUUGGGGGAAAGCAGGGGAUCUUCGGACCUUGCGCUAUUGGAUGAGCCUAAGUCGGAUUAGCUAGUUGGUGGGGUAAUGGCUCACCAAGGCGACGAUCCGUAGCUGGUCUGAGAGGAUGAUCAGCCACAUCGGGACUGAGACACGGCCCGAACUCCUACGGGAGGCAGCAGUGGGGAAUAUUGGACAAUGGGGGCAACCCUGAUCCAGCCAUGCCGCGUGUGUGAAGAAGGCUUUCGGGUUGUAAAGCACUUUCAGUGAGGAGGAAGGCUUUCAGACUAAUACUCUGGAGGAUUGACGUCACUCACAGAAGAAGCACCGGCUAACUCCGUGCCAGCAGCCGCGGUAAUACGGAGGGUGCAAGCGUUAAUCGGAAUUACUGGGCGUAAA
rnacentral:rRNA from 1 species